rnacentral:rRNA from 1 species
AUUGAACGCUGGCGGAAUGCUUUACACAUGCAAGUCGAACGGCAGCACGGGUGCUUGCACCUGGUGGCGAGUGGCGAGCGGGUGAGUAAUGUAUCGGAACGUAUCCAAUAAUGGGGGAUAACUAAUCGAAAGGUUGGCUAAUACCGCAUACGCCCUACGGGGGAAAGCAGGGGAUCUUCGGACCUUGCGUUAAUGGAGCGGCCGAUAUCUGAUUAGCUAGUUGGUGAGGUAAAGGCUCACCAAGGCGACGAUCAGUAGCUGGUCUGAGAGGACGACCAGCCACACUGGAACUGAGACACGGUCCAGACUCCUACGGGAGGCAGCAGUGGGGAAUUUUGGACAAUGGGGGCAACCCUGAUCCAGCCAUUCCGCGUGAGUGAAGAAGGCCUUCGGGUUGUAAAGCUCUUUCGCAAGGGAAGAAACGAUACAGUCUAAUAAACUGUGUUAAUGACGGUACCUUGAUAAGAAGCACCGGCUAACUACGUGCCAGCCGCCGCAGUAA